rnacentral:rRNA from 1 species
UACGUAGGGUGCAAGCGUUAAUCGGAAUUACUGGGCGUAAAGCGUGCGCAGGCGGUUUUGUAAGACAGGUGUGAAAUCCCCGGGCUUAACCUGGGAACUGCAUUUGUGACUGCAAGGCUGGAGUGCGGCAGAGGGGGAUGGAAUUCCGCGUGUAGCAGUGAAAUGCGUAGAUAUGCGGAGGAACACCGAUGGCGAAGGCAAUCCCCUGGGCCUGCACUGACGCUCAGGCACGAAAGCGUGGGGAGCAAACAGG